rnacentral:lncRNA from 1 species
UUCUUCUUGCACGGAAGAAAAUCUUAGGUGACAUUUGUGGAAGAGGACGUACAUGUCUCACUACUUGCUAAAUUAGGACAACCACCCAGUCAUCACUCUCCAGUUCUUGGAACUCUCUUCCAAUGGUAGACCUCAAGAUCAUUCAUUUCAACCAUGGCAUAUGAUGUUUAAAAAUCAUCUGUAUAAGCAGCCUGAGCUGACUAAGACGUGAUCCAAGAGGGUUAUUCACCUUAAGGAAUAACUAGUACUCCCUCCAAGAGAAACCAGGAGACUGAGUCGCAGGCGUUCCCUGGUGUAUGGAUCAAGGUAACUUUGGAAGGACUUCUAAAAGUCUUCUUUACUCUUCCCGAUGCUAACCUACUAGAACUAUUAACUGAAAGAAUCCACACAAACAGCUAUAAUUUAUGCAAUGAAAUAAUGGGAGAGCCCUAAAUCCAACAGCCCAUUUUGCUUAUCUGUGGCUCUGACCCUGACCCUGCGUGCUCUAGCUACUGAGAUGAUGGUAUGUACCAUGUUGGAAAUUCAAAAGUCAGAACAUUUGCAUUUCUGUGUACUCAGUU